rnacentral:lncRNA from 1 species
CUGCACAGUCUCAACAGCUUCCUUGAUUCAAACGCCUCCGAUUACCCACUUUCAAAAUGCACACCAGUCAUUACCCAGCAACCUUGAAUUCCUAACAAGUUUAUGGUCCAAGGAACAUUUAAAAGGUGCAGAAUUUAUACCACAGAAAAUAAAAGUUCCUUCUCAGAAUUUCGGACUUCCUUCUCUUUGGUGAGAUGCGUCCCUGACCGUUCUGUGCCUUGGAUGAAGAACUGGAAACUGAGGAGAUGAUAAGAAAUGAUGAGCAGGAUGUUCUCAGUAAAACUUGAAAAGUCCUCUGUGAACUCAAAGUGAUAUGUACCGU